UCGACGUACGUCGUACGAAGGAGUUAGUUGUACUCGUCGCUAGGACGAACGCUGGCGGCGUGCCUAACACAUGCAAGUCGAGCGGGGACAUACGACGGAACCAAAGUUUCGGAUGGAGGUGAAGAUGUAUGUCUAGCGGCGGACGGGUGAGUAACGCGUGAGCAACCUGUCCCUCACAGGGGGAUAACACAGCGAAAGUUGUACUAAUACCGCAUGAGACCACGGUAAGACAUCUUACAGGGGUCAAAGGAGCAAUCCGGUGAGGGGUGGGCUCGCGUCCGAUUAGAUAGUUGGUGAGGUAACGGCCCACCAAGUCGACGAUCGGUAGCCGACCUGAGAGGGUGAUCGGCCACAUUGGGACUGAGACACGGCCCAAACUCCUACGGGAGGCAGCAGUGGGGAAUAUUGGGCAAUGGGGGGAACCCUGACCCAGCAACGCCGCGUGAGGGAAGAAGGUUUUCGGAUCGUAAACCUCUGUCCUUGGUGAAGAGUAAGAGACGGUAGCCAAGGAGGAAGCCCCGGCUAACUACGUGCCAGCAGCGGC
rnacentral:rRNA from 1 species